rnacentral:miRNA from 1 species
AAAAGUAAUUGCAGUUUUUCCC